CGGCCAACAAAUGAUCCACCUAGCCAAAAGAAGUGCCGAUUGGUCAACAAAAUUUCCACAUAGCACAAAACUUAGCCGGCUGGCCAAAAAAAGAGUUGGCCAGCAAAUUUCUGCGACAUCGGGGCAAAAAAUGGGUUAGACAACCCGAUUGGCUUCAAAAGAAGUUAGGGCUCAUUUUCCUCACAAACUCACAUCUAAUACACAUCUUCCCUCCCUCCGAAACUCUCUCUCUAGAUUCUCUCUUCAUUUUUGUAUUACCCAAGACCCGAAGUUGAUUUCCCCUUGAAUUUGCCUCGAUUUUCAGCCCUUUGUACCUUUGGUUUCCAAAAUUGGUUGUUCUUUGUUUUGCACGGUUUUGGUCUUAAAUCUUCACAAAUUGGACUGAUUCUUGGUGAUUCUUAAAGGCUAAGGUAAUUUCUCAAAACAACCUUGAUUAAUUUGCUCAUGAAAGUGAGCAAUUUCCCUGAUUUGCUUCUUGAUGUCCCUUGAAUUUCUUGAAUGUGCCUUGAAUUGCUUGAAUUUGCCUUGAAUUGUGCUUGAAUUUGCCUUGAAUUGCUUGAAUUGUGGGUAGUCACUUACUGAUUAGCCAUUGAUUUCAUACCAUACUGAUUGCUUGGUCGAUUACUCAUGAAUUUGGACAAUUUUCCUUAGAAUUUGACAUAGAUUACUCACAAGUACAUUAUAUGCCUUCCCUUUACCAAAUGAAACUUGGAACAAAAAAUAUGAUAAGGGAAAAGUGAAAAGGGGAUUAGGUUGAGAGCUUCUCUCUCUAGAAUCUAGAGAGAGAAAGCUCCUUCGGUUGUUACCCAUGGAGUUUUUUAGGGUUCCUUAUCAGAUUCUUGGUCUGGUUUUGGUGGGACUGUGUGUUGUUACUGAAUCUGGGCUUAUUGUUGUCCAGAUUUAUGAGGGUUUGAAGGUUUGCUCCGGUGAUGGAUAGAGUUUUGUCCAGCUGGUUGUGUUGCUCUACACAGGUAUUUUGUUGUUUCGAAGUGGGGCUGUUUUGGGCUUUACUGUGUUGUUAGCCUCUCUCUUUUGUUCUAGAGGGAGAUGGGUGGUGGGAAUGGGUGUGUUAUCUGCACUAAGGAGCUCUGGUUGUGGGUGGCGCCAUGGUCGUUUUGUCUCUCCGGCCAGUUUGUUUAAGCUCUCUACCUAAAAGCUGUGGGCGAGUGAGUAUAUAGUACUAGUGCUGCUGGUUGAUCUCUGGCCAGAGUUGCCUCUUUCUCGGCAUGAAGUGCUUGGAGUGAAAAGGGAUCCUCCGUGAUACUUCUCUGCUCAGGUUAUUUUCUCCUCCGAUUUGAUUUCGUCGGCGUGAUUGUGCGGUGUGUUGCUGCCUUGGUCUACUUCAGUAGUCUCACAUGAGUAGGUGUUCUAGCACUACUCUGCGGGGUUAUAUCCUGGAUGGAUGUGUUUUACGAUUUGGGAGCCUAUCCACUUCGGCAUUGGUUGGGAAAGAGGUGUUUUGCUCUAGUUUGGUUCCAGUUUGUUCUAGUUUUUGUUCAUGGUGGUCGUGUUCAUGCCCAGACAGGUGAAGGGUUUUUCGGCGUCGGGUGGGUUUUUGGUCUACUAGCACCGCUGCUACUAUAUUGACAUAAAGGCCGCGUGUUGGUGGAUUCAGCGUGCGCUGCUUGUUUCUGGGCGUUUCGCUGCGUUCUGAGGCAUCAUCUAUUUUUUGUUUUGUUGUGUAUUUAUCUAUGGUUCACGCCGGUGACAGUUUCCAAUCUUGCAGGCGUUAUUGUUAUGGAGUUUGAGAUUACUGUAGCUGGGCGUGUGCCUUACGGCCUGCUACAUAUGCGUGUGUCCAAAAGUUGGUGCAGAGCUGAUGUCACCUGCGUUUUUUAUGCUUGCACGUCUUCUCAGCAAAUAUAGCCUGAUGUGCAGGAGUAUAGCUGGAUGCACAUGGGUGCAAAGUGGGCCCGUGUGAUAGUUUGAGUUUUGGCUCCAGCUUUAGGAGGGAAAAGUUAAUCUUUUCCUGAAGAGGUUGACUAGAUGUUGUGACAAGUGGAGAUUUUUGGACCACGUGAGUAAAAGAUAUAUCAGCUUUAUAUAUAUUUGGUUUGAUUUGUGCUUUGCCCACCCAGAGUGGAACUUGGUGUUGUAGUAGGUGGGCCACAUGUGGAUUCAAAUUCAUAUCCAAAAUCUAUUAGAAAAAAUCAUGGUGGCCCACGUGUGGAUGUUUAUUACGGCUGGUUUUGGUCCAUGGUUUUCCAAGUUGGUGGAUGACCAUGGCCUUAUGUUAAAAGGUUCUAUUGGGCUGAUUUUGCAACACGUGAGCUCCAUUUUUUGGGCCACAUGUUUUUUUUUGGUGCAGCCUCUUUUCAGCAGAAUGGGAUGUGAGAUUGGGUUUGGUUAAUUGGGCUCGUCGUUGGGCUCAUUUUUUUGGACCCAAUUCUUGGUGUAAUAUGUUUGGGCCAAUGUAUAAUGGCUCAGUGUGUUUAUUUAGUAUGUUGAAUCUGGGCAAUGUUUGCCUGUGCGUGUUUCAAUUGUUGUAAUUGCCCAUAUAUCUUCCCCAAGUCUCCUUCUAUCAUCUCUGAUGGUAGGGGUCACUUGGGGGGCAAAAAGGAUAUAUGGGCAAAGAUGGGUUUUUAUGUUCUUUCUUAUAGUAAGAUUUAUUUAUUUACUUUUCUCCUUUGCUAGGGUGGUCAAGUUAGAUAUGUUGUAUUACCUGGGGUAUGCCCCCUUGUAAAUGUGUAAUUCUUUGUUUUUAAUUAAUGACUUACACACAAAGACACAAAAAAAAAAAAAAAAAAACUUAGAACAUAAAAUUUAACUUGAUUUGUAUAUUGAAUGAAAAUUCCAUGGCUUAACACAAAUUUUUAAUUCACAUUGCUAGGCUUCUUGUUGUUAUUGUUGUUGUUGCUUUUUAUUUUUUAUUUUUUACAUACACAUUGCCCCUAGUUUGACAUUGUUGAAAUUGAACUACUUGGGAUUUUUUCCCUAUCAAUUUGCCAUUGAUUUUGCAUUUUUCUUCCAAAAUUUGAACAAUGUUAGAAUAUUUCAACACUUUUCUACAUUUCUUCAUUUUGAUUCUUUUUUUUAUUUUAUUGCCCACAACUUGGGUUGGAUUUCUCGUACUCUUCUUUUGAUUCCAUAGAUUGUUAUGGAUAGUGAUGAUGCUCCACAUACUGACAUCUCCCCCCCGGUCAUUGUCUUAGAGGGUGAUGUAACGUCACCGGUGCCUGAGGUCGACGUCCCCGCACUUGUUGCGGAUAUGGAGGGCCAUGACGAGGACCUCAUGGCUGAGGACACUGAGGCAGGGCCAGAGCCAUUUCCUCUGAGGAUGAGGCCAUUUGACCCUACGGCUUAUAAGCCGUAUACUAAAACAAUGGUCCCGAGGGAGAUGUUGCGCUGUAAUAAAUUCUCACAAUGGGUCAUAGAGGACGUAUUGAUUUGGGAGCGCUCAAGGCACCUCUCCUAUGAUUCCACCAUGGUAUUCAUUUCUCUCUUUCCUUUUUUUAUUUAGUGUGCCAUGCUUUGAACUCUCGAUACCUCCAAUCUCUUGCAUGCUAACAACUUGCUUAUUACAGGUCCUCGAUCGACUGAUGAGUGGGUAUGAGAGCGUCUACGGCCCUUGCUAGUGGUACAAAAAUCUUCCCACCGAGGUCCGUAUCUUGGUGGACGGGGUUGGAUUCGGCCCAUUUUGCUUGGGCAUCAUAUCGCUGCAAGCAGACCGGUCGAUUUUCGAUGCCUUGGUAGAGAGGUGGUGGGACACCACCAACUCCUUCCAUUUCUCUUCUGCCAGGGAUAUGACGAUGAUCCCGUAUGACUUCUUCAUGAUCACCAGUCUCUCAGUGGGGGAUAAGCCAAUCCCGUUUGACCUCGACCUCAUCUAGUGACCCAUUGCUCAGAUGUUCUUUCUUGGGGUUGUCCCACCCCUCACUCGCCAUGAGAUAAUUCGCUACAACUGGCUCUAGCAACACUUCUACGGGUUAGAGCCAGUGACACUAGAGGAGGCUGCCCAGUAUGCUGGCUAGUUCUUCUUUAUGUCCUCGGUACUACCUUGUGUGGGAACAAGGAGAAUACCAUAGGACUCUACUUUUUGAGCGGCAUGGUGGAGCUCUAACGGGUGAGGGAGUACGACUAGGUGGAGCUAACCUUGCCACAUUUUAUGGCUACAUGAGCUCUGUGCCCCGCUAAAAGGCGGAGCUGCUGGGAGGUUAAUAGAGGGCAAGGGAGGUACAUUUUGCACUCUCUUUCAAUUCAUUUAUAUUUCAUUGCUUGUUUUAUUUCCAUUUUUGCCUGUUGAUUUCCUGACAUGCUUUCCCAUGCAGAUAUGGCUUUACACUUACUUUUCCUCUAUCACCCUGAUCCCGAGAUUAGAGAUAACUCUGGCAGUGCCUCACUCAUUGUCCUAUGGCGGAAGGCUCUGCCCUUACAGCCAGCACAUUAGCAACUUUAUCGCCUUUCGUUGUUUCUUCAACACGGUGACCGUUGACAUGGUAAUCAUUCAUUGAACUCUUGGGCGGCCAUGCCCAACGCAAUGAGGGAGAGGUAUGUUGUCACCUAGGAGACUUCCUAGAUAAUGGUGCACUAGAGGGGCCCUUUUGCAGAGUCUAGUACUUGGGGAAGUGAUUCACUUGCCAGACCUUGCGCCAUGUCAAUCUUCGUAUUUCGUCUCUUCUUUCUCCACUCGUGAGAAUUGUUGAUGAUAUCACUGAUGAGGCCCUCAUCAAUCACAUGGCAUUAAGGUAGCAUAUUGAUGCCUUCUACUUUCUCGGAGACUAUUGCAUUCCUGUGGUCUCACAUCAUGCCACCUCUGACUGAGGGCGUGGCUCGCAUUAUCGAAAUUGUUGAUGCCCCAACUGCUAGUGAUGCUUUUGCUGGUGCUGCUCCUCCAGCUAGAGGUCUCACAUCUCCUGCUGACAAUGCUACAUUUCCUCUUGAGUAUCCGUCACUUUCCACAGCAGUUACAUUUUAGCACUCGAAUGGCAUUUUGGAUGAGCUACCCUUGGAGCCUCUCAGACGAUGAUCGCUCAUCCUCGCUCUAGAGACCUGAUUGUACCCCGAGAUGGGUUGUAUGGAUCAGUGCCUAGAGCUCAUCGACACACUAAUGGUCAUAGUCAAGAGGAGGGAGGCAUCUCUAGUCUCCCUUGGGAUUGAGGUAGCAGCCCCUCCAGCCAUGAGGGAGAGAGGAGGACGAGCUCCAUCACAAAUGAGAGGAGGUUGAGGUAGAGAUGACUGUGGCAGGAGAGGGAGAAGAGUAUCUGUUGAGAUCCCCAAGCUAGAGCCAUAGGCUUUUGAUGAGCACUUUAAGGACUCCGGAGAGAGCAGAAAGGAGAGUGAUAGUGGCGGAAAUGCUGGUGCCAAUGUCGAGACUUCCGAUAACACACUACGAAUGAGGACGAAGAGAGAUUCAAGCUUAUUUCUUCUUUCUUUGAAUGAUGUAUUUUUUCUUUUUGCCUUUUUUUUCCUUCUUUUUGAUGUACUUUUCUUUUUCCCUUUCCUUUUAUUCCUUUUAUUCCUUUUUUUUUUGUGUGUGUGUGUUUUUGUGUUUUUUUUUUUUUUGUAAAAGGAUGACAUAAAACUUAUGAUGAUAUAUAUUAUCCCUUUCUUUUAUGUA